GUAGGUGGCAAGCGUUGUCCGGAAUUAUUGGGCGUAAAGCGCGCGCAGGCGGUUCUUUAAGUCUGAUGUGAAAGCCCACGGCUCAACCGUGGAGGAUCAUUGGAAACUGGAGAACUUGAGUACAGAAGAGGAAAGCGGAAUUCCACGUGUAGCGGUGAAAUGCGUAGAGAUGUGGAGGAACACCAGUGGCGAAGGCGGCUUUCUGGUCUGUAACUGACGCUGAGGCGCGAAAGCGUGGGGAGCAAACAGGAUUAGAUACCCUGGUAGUCCACGCCGUAAACGAUGAGUGCUAAGUGUUAGGGGGUUUCCGCCCCCCUUAGUGCUGCAGCUAACGCAUUAAGCACUCCGCCUGGGAGUACGGCCGCAAGGCUG
rnacentral:rRNA from 1 species